CCCUCUUAUCAACCUACACUUUGGUUAGUUAUAAGCCUGGUCACAAUAUGACUAUAAUCUCAGCCCACAGUUUAACGCAGCUUAAAUUAAGGUUUCACCCAGGCUCUCAUCUUCAAGUCAAGGUGUCUUCCAAGCUUGCAUGAUUAUGAUAUCAUUUUGUUCUGUGCUGCUGCACUACAGAGGCCCGUUUCCCUGCUGGCAGUCAUCCAGAGGCUCCUUUCAGCAUCUGAACACCGUCUGCUUUCCUUUCCAUGAGGCCUCUCCCUCCGCAAAGCCAGGAACAGAGAAUCUCCCUCAGGUUGAGGCGUUCUCCUCCUUCAAAUGCUUUUUGCAGGAAGAGCCUCGUUCUUUGUAAUGGCUCAGAUCAUUAGAUCAGUAGGUCAUGCUUACCCAGUCAUCUCCCUUUUUAAAAUUGAACUGGACUGCAUAACAUAGCCUCAUCCUGGAGUGACUGUCUCAUCAUAUUCAGAGUACACGUCCACACUAGAAGAGAGGGGCAGACACCCUGGGGGCUGUCUUAGAAUCCUGCCUAGCACACCUUGUCAAGACAUCAAGCCAUAGAUUGCUUCUUCUCCAUCAGGGGUGAUAAUGGUGCCUUGUCUUUGGAUUUCUGUGAUGAUGCAAUAAGGUAGUCAGUAUAAAGUGAUUGCUGUGGUCACUAUCAUGUGAAAGCUCUUUAAAAAUACCAAGGCUGUCACUUUUAUAACUACCACCACCACCACCAGCACCUCCACUACUGUGCUGCUUUGAUGUAAGUCUGUGGUCUGUGGCAGAUGACCUAGCAUCUGUAUUUGUAUUUUCCUUGUUUUCUCAUUCUAAGAUGAUUGGUUGCCUAAUAAACCAAGGACUCUCUGGGCUCCACACAGACCCUUGGAGGAUUUUCUUCCCCAUUCCGCCCUUAGCAUUGUAACUCCUUGAGUGAAUACAACGAGGCUUCCAUAUGUUCCCAUUCUUCUCCAACAAACACGUCUAUACCCACAUGUCUAUACCCACACAAACACACACACGUACACGUGCACCCAAAUUAACUCUUCACAGAGAGAGAGGUGAUCAUUUAACAUGUGUGUUACAAUCAGACAAAACUGCAUUUAUAGCCUGACUCUUCCAGGAUAUUUAACUUAUAGGGAGCCUCUACUUCCUUACCUAUAAUAAAUGUAUAUUAAUGAUAACUGCCAUAGAGAGUGGUUGUUAAAAUUAAAUACUCUAUAGUGAACUUCCAGAUAAUUUAUAGCUAUCAUGAUUAAUACAAAUCUACCACAAUUUAUCACACAGUUUAUGAAAAUUACUCAUGCUGAAAAUUUCCAACCUAGGACACUUAAGAGAUCUUAAAUGUGCUGUUUCAUUUAAUUUUUCAAACUAGCAAUAAAACAGACAUAGGUAAUUUCCCCCUUAAAUUAAGCUUUUUUCCCCCCUACGUGUCCACAGGUUAAUAACUUUAAAAAUGUAUUUAGUACUUUGUAACAUCUCAUUUUUGCUUGUAUCCUUUCUAACUUAUUCUGGGUAUAAUAUCAAACCCUUUUUAUCAUAAGACAUGAGACAUGCUAUAAAGGGGUAGGUUUUCAAGGAUGUGAAUUUAGGAGCAUCCCAAUUAGUUUUUCUUACUGAUUGAGUCAUGAACAGCAGUGAGCUGAUCGCUUCGCUUCAUGCAUCUAUUGUUUCUCCACUUGAGUCACUUCACUGCAGAUGUGAAGGAGCAAGCAAAGAGACAGAGUUGCAACUACACCAUCACUGAAUGCUCUUCCUAGCAUGGAGACUAAAACGGGGGCAGGCGGACAUCUGUCUACUCUCUUAAUACCCUAAAGAACUUGAAAUGGAUGUGGUAACAGUAACCAUUUCAUUCUUUGGUAUAACUCUCCAAGACUGAGCUGCUUUCUUAUAUUUAAAGAUAAUAUUUCCACUUUCCUUUUCUCUUCCUUUUCUUUGCCAUAGACAUAUGUUACAGAAUUCAGAGUGCAUUCCAGGUAAAGCCGUGCUCAAUUGAAGGAUGCUUUCUCUGUUUGAGACUAACAUUUUGAUUGCACGCUUAAGCAUUUCAUGGUGUGUUGUUGGCUAAACAGUUAUUAUUCACUAAAGACAACAUCUACUUUUGGCCAAGGACAAAGACUCUGAGGGUACCGAGAUGUGGUAUAGAGUUGUGUUAAAAGAGUCUGGAGCCAGACUGUCCAGGAUUACCAUUUGAUAGCUGUCUAGGAUUACCAUUUGAUAAACGGUCAAGCUACCUCAUUUAUUUUUGUCUCAGUUUAUUUAUCCAUAUAAUGUGGAUAAUAAUUGUACCUAACUCAUAAGGUUGUAAUGAGGAUUAACCGAGUUGAUAUUUGUAAAAUGUUUUAAAACACUUAUAACACAUAAGAAACUCUAGGUAAAUUGAAAAAGCAAUACAAAUUUUGUCAUAUUUACUUCCUAUGGCUCACAGUCUUUGAGAGCAGGUGGGGAAGGGACACUAAAUGGCUAUAUUUCAUUAUUCAUUAUUAAUAAUUAAAUCUUUAUAGAAGUAACAAUGUAACACCAAAUGCAGUUGGCAUUGGGGAGUGUAAAAAUAGGAUAAUCUUCAAGGAAAGAGGAUGCUUGAUUUAUGUUUUGAAGAUUGGGUAGGACUUGAUGAUGAAAGGGAGAGAAGUACAGGUUCCGUGUUCUUUACUGAGCAACAAAGCAGAAUGCUCAGAGCCAUGAGACUAUGGAGAGGCAAGUGACAGGUGAGGAGGCUACGGAAAUAGAUCAUCAUCAGAUGAUGUGCCUUAAUUUUUUUUUUUUCCUUCCACCAAGGGUAGCAGAGUCAUUGAUGCAUUUGGACUAGAAAUCAUUUCAAUUACAGAGAUUGGAUGUGCUGUGUCAGCAGAGUCAUUUCAGUAGGCAUGAGAAGAAAAGAGGCUCAUGGUAGGAUAGAGAGCCAGGGACCGGGGACAAACAGCACUAGGCAUGGACCUGAUGUGUCAACAGCAGUGGAGUAGUGGUGGGAAAACAGAUACCGUACUGACUGAUGGGAAGUGAGCAGUGCAGGAGAAGAAAGAAAUGUGGCCCACUGGGCAAGGAAACAUGAGAAAAUUGAUUUAUUAACCACUUGUCAUUCCUGAUGCAAAUCAUCCUUUCACAUAGCAUGCACAGAGGAGGGAAAAGAGGAUCAUUAAAUUUUGGCAAUACUGAGGACAAAUAUUGCAUCGGCAGACCUUCAUGAGUCAGUGGAACACAACAUUAGACCAAGGACAUCUGCCUUUAUAAUGAGUGAAUUAAAAAGGAGUGGAGUUAGAAAGUGUCUAAUCUACACUCCCUUGAAUCACAGAGAUUAAGGAUUUAGACAAGAUUUAGGUACUUUCUUAGCUUCAGCACAAUUAAAAGUACAUGAACUCUAGUUAAACCCGUAUAAAUGAGUCACCAAAGCUCUCAACCCAGGGCAGUCACUCUUGUGUCUUGGUUGUGUCAUCUGUAAAAUGGCUAAAAAGGUGUCUUCUUCAAUUAAAAUUUUGUGCUAUAAUGUAUAUAAGUUGUCUAUUUCCUGCUACAUGUUAUUAGACCCUUAAAUUUUAAGGACGGGAGCCACUUCCGUUUAAUAUUUAUCAUGUUUGACCCAUGAAGAAUUCAAAUUGGUUUAAAGUGAGAAGAUAUGUUUUAAAUACUAUGACUGCCGAGGUAGAAAUUAAACAUAAAGACU
rnacentral:lncRNA from 1 species